UACAGAGGGUGCAAGCGUUAAUCGGAAUUACUGGGCGUAAAGCGUGCGUAGACGGUUAUGUAAGUCGGGUGUGAAAGCCCCGGGCUCAACCUGGGAAUUGCAUUCGAGACUGUGUAGCUAGGGUGCGGAAGAGGGAAGCGGAAUUUCCGGUGUAGCGGUGAGAUGCGUAGAUAUCGGAAGGAACACCAGUGGCGAAAGCGGCUUCCUGGUCCAGCACCGACGUUCAGGCACGAAAGCGUGGGGAGCAAACAGG
rnacentral:rRNA from 1 species